CGGACCGGCGCACGGGUGAGUAACACGUAUGGAACCUGCCCGCAGCAGGGGGAUAAGCGGAAGAAAUUCCGUCUAAUACCGCGUAACACCGCAGAGGGGCAUCCCUCGGCGGUUAAAGAUUCAUCGGCUGCGGAUGGCCAUGCGGCGCAUUAGCUAGUCGGCGGGGUAACGGCCCACCGAGGCGACGAUGCGUAGGGGUUCUGAGAGGAAGGUCCCCCACACUAGUACUGAGACACGGACCAGACUCCUACGGAAGGCAGCAG
rnacentral:rRNA from 1 species